GAGUUUGAUCUUGGCUCAGGAUGAACGCUGGCGGCGUACCUAACGCAUGCAAGUCGAACGGGGAUUGAAUAGCAAUAUUUGAUUCUAGUGGCAAACGGGGUGAGUAACACGUGGGUAAUCUACCCUGGAGUGGGGAAUAACGGACCGAAAGGUUCGCUAAUACCGCAUAUCGUUGAGAAACGAAAGGGGUCUCUUACGAGACUUCGCUCUGGGAGGAGCCUGCGGCCGAUCAGGUAGUUGGUGAGGUAACGGCUCACCAAGCCGCAGACCGGUAGCUGAUCUGAGAGGAUGACCAGCCACACUGGCACUGAGACACGGGCCAGACUCCUACGGGAGGCAGCAGCGAGGAAUAUUGCGCAAUGGACGAAAGUCUGACGCAGUAACGCCGCGUGAGGGAGGAAGACCUCGGUUGUAACUACUUUUGGUUAGGUACGAGUGAGGACGGUACGUA
rnacentral:rRNA from 1 species